AUGCUCGCUUUUGCAGCACAUAUACUAAAAUUGGAACGAUAGAGAGGAGAUAAGCAUGGCCCCUGCGCAAUGAUAAAACGCAAAUUCAUGACGUGUUCCAUUUUAAA